rnacentral:lncRNA from 1 species
UUUAACAAUUUUUGGGCUGGAAACUGACAUGCCGUUCGGUUCUCCCCAAAAACGACGUUCCUUUUUUGAACCCAUUUUUAAAGAACUAAAAAAAAAAUUCGAAAAUUGAAAACUAAGUCUUUUAUAGUUUUAAGGGAUUUUAAAGAAGGCAAAAUAAAGAACUUUCAAAAUAAACUUGAGAGAAAUCGAGAAAUUGAGGGAAACUCAAAAAAUUCGAUAAUCAGUAAGCAGAUGAUUCACGAACCGUCUAUUGAAAUUUCAUCUAUGGAUUGGACGAAAUUAUCCCGGACUGAAAAAAAAUGAAAGAUCUGACUAAUAGAACAAGCAGAAUCAGAAAUCAAAUAUAUAAAAUUACAAAGAAAAGAAAAAAGGAUCGCUAACUCAAGAAACAAUAUUAGUUCGAACAAACCAACGUAUUCUGUUAAAUAUUAGACCCAUCAAAAAGGAUUUGGCGGAUAUUAAAAAAAGAAACGCUCGAUUAAUCCGUAAAUCCUAUUUGUUUCUAAAAUUUGGCAUUGAAAAGAUAUACAGAAAUAUUUUUAUAUCUACCCUUACUAUUCCAAGAAUCAAUACAAACCUUUUCGUGAAUCAACAAGAAAACAAAUGAAAUUAUUGAGAAAAACAUCCACAAUAAUGAAGCAAAUCCCGAAAGAAUUAAUAAAACAAAUAAAAAUAGAAUUAUUUCGACUAUCCAAAAAUUGAUUUCUAAGACUAGUAAUAAGAAUUCAAAGAUUUCUUGUAAUUUAUUGUCUUUUUCACAAUCACAAGCAUAUGUAUUUUACAAAUUAUUACAAGUCCCAAUUUUGAACUUUUAUAAUUUAAGACCCGUUCUUCAAUAUCACGGAACAUCUCUAUUUCUUAAGAAUGAAAUAAAAGAUUUUUUUGAAAAACACGGAAUCUUUAAUUACCAAUUAAGACAUAAACCCCUUUGGAAUUUUGGAAGGAAUACACGAAACACUGUUUAAGCGGGCAUUAUCAAUAUGAUUUAUCUCGGAUUAAAUGGGCUAGAUUAGUACCACAAGAAUGGCGAAAUAGAGCCAAUCAACACUGUAUGGCUCAAAUAAAGAUUUAAUUAAAAGAGAUUCGUAUGAAAAAAAUGGAUUAACUCAUUACGAAAAACAACAUUUUUUUGAAGCAGACCUAUUACGUAAUCAAAAAUCGAAUUUUAAAAAACACUAUAGAUAUGAUCUUUUAUCAUAUAAAUCGCUUAAUUAUGAAGAUAAGAAAGACUCGUAUAUUGAUAGAUCACUAGUCCAAGUAAAUAAUAAAGAAGAGUAUUAUUCUAAUUACAAUAGAAAGAAAGUAAAAUUGUUGGCUAUGCUGGGAAGUAUCUCUAUCAAUAAUUAUAUAGGGGAAGAUGAUAUUAUGGAUAUGGAAAAAUUCGUGUAUAGAAAAUAUUUUGAUUGGAGAAUUCUUAAUUUUUGUCUUAGAAAUAAGGCCAAUAUGGAAGCCUGGGUUGAUAUGGAUACUGGUACCAGCAGUAAUCAAAUACUAGGAUUGGGUCCAAUAAUUAUCAAAAAAUUAAUGCAAUUAAUACCAGAGUCCCCUUUUAUCUUACAAUUCAUCAAGAUGAAGAAAUUAACCCAUCCACUCAAAAGGGGUUCUUUUGUGAUUGGAUGGGAAUGAAUGAAGAAAUACUAAGUUGUCCUAUAUCAAACCCAGAAUCUUGGUUCUUCCCAGAAUUUGUACUACUUUUUAAUGCAUAUAGAACGAAACCCUGGAUUAUACCAAUCAAAUUACUUCUUUUCAAUUUUAAUGGAAAUAGUAAGAAAAAUAGAACCGGAAAGAAAGAGGCGGAUCUUUUUAUAUCACCUACUCAAAAAGAAUAUUUUGAAUUAUCGAAUCAAAGUAAAGAAGAAACGAACUCGCAGACCAAGGAACUCCGAGAUCGGAUGCACAAAAGCAAGUAAUUCUUGGAUCAGUUCUCUCAAACCAAGAAAAAGAUGGUGAAGAAAUUAUACGGGAUCGGACAUGAAACCCGUAUAAAGAAAAAGCAAUCCAAAAGAGAAACCGAAGUACAGCUCGAUUUCUUCCUAAAAGAUAUUUGUGUUUGCAGUUGCGAUGGAGGGGGGCUGUUUCUUUCAGAGAAAAAAUACUCAAUGAUAUGCAAGUAUAUUGUCACCUGGUUCGACUAAUAAAUCCUAGCGACGUUGCUAUAGCCUCUAUUCAAAGGGGAGAAAUGAGUCUGCCUAUUUUGAUCACUAAGAAGAAGUUCGCUCUUAAAGAAUUGACGAAAGGGGAAUGCUUAUUAUCGAACCCCGUCGUUUGUCUGUAAAAAUGAUGGACAAUUUUUUCUAUAUCAAAUCGUAGGUAUUGCAUUGGUUCAUAAGAAUAAGCGCAAAAUUACUAAAGAUACCAAGAAAGGGCUAUGUUGAUAAAAAGAUUUUGAUGAAUUCAUUGCAAAACAUCAAAAAAUGACUGGAAAUAGAAACAAAAUCAUUAUGAUUUGCUUGUUCCUGAAACUAUUUUACUCCCUAAACGUCGUAGAGAAUUAAGAACCCUAAUUUGUUUCAAUUCGAAGAAUCAAAAUGGUAUGCAGAAAAAUCCAGUAUUUUUUAAUAACGGAAAGGGCGGCGGCCGCGUUUUGGAUAAAAACAAAAUCUUGCUCGAGAGAAAAUCAACUAAUUCAAUUAAAGUUCUUUAUUUGGGCCAAUUCUCGAUUAGAAGAUUUAAUUUGUAUGAAUCGGUAUUGGUUUAAUACCAAUAAUGGGAGUCGUUUCAGUAUGGUAAGGGUCCAUAUGUAUCCACGAUUGAAAAUUCGUUAAUAGUGUGCUUUUCCUAUCUAUCAUGUCCCAUUUUGGGAUAUGAAAACAAAGAAAUGUAUACAUGUCUUGUCUUCCAUUCCAGUCUGAUACAAGAUACCAAAUUAAUGGCGAACAUUUUAAUUAGAUCCAUAAAUGAAUCAAGAAACUCUUUUUUUUAGGUCCAAAUUUUUCUCUUUUGCCGAAAUAUCCAUCCUUUUAGAUGCCUAAUCAAAUUGAAAUUGGAUUGAUUAUUGAUAUUGAUUUUCUAGCAAGUUCAUAACGAACUUAAGAUUAUUGUGUAUAUCAAAUUGAAGUAACUAGUAUUAUUAUUACUGAUCAGUAAAUUCAUCUUAAAAAGGAAGGGGGAGGGGUUUCGUUUUAUGGUAAAAAUGCAUUCAUCUCAGUUAGGGUUCAAGAAAAAAAAGAAAAAAACAGCGGAUCGGUUGAAUUUCAAGUAUUUCGUUUCACCAACACGAUCCGGAGACUUACUUCACAUUUAGAAUUGCACAGAAAAGACUAUUCAUCUCAAAGGGGUCUACGUAAAAUUUUGGAAAAACGCCAACGUCUACUAGCUUAUUUGUCAAAGAAAAAUAGAGUACGUUAUAAAGAAUUAAUUAGUAAGUUGAAUAUCCGGGAGUCAAAAAAUCGUUAAUUUGAAAUUUGAAAAACAAUUUCGAAUUAUUUGAUUUUGACUGUUGAUGAACUUCUUGUUGUUUUCAACAAUUCAUGUAAGAAUGAAUCGAGGAAAACCUAUGAGUAUACUAGCUACAGAAAAAGAAAAAGAAUUUAUGAUAGUCAAUAUGGGACCUCACCACCGUCAAUGCAUGGGGUUCUUCGUCUCAUCGUUACUCUAGACGGUGAAGAUGUUAUUGACUGUGAACCAAUAUUGGGUUAUUUACACAGAGGGAUGGAAAAAAUUGCGGAAAACCGAACAAUUAUACAAUAUCUGCCUUAUGUAACCCGUUGGGAUUAUUUAGCUACUAUGUUCACAGAAGCAAUAACUGUAAAUGGACCAGAACAGUUGGGAAAUAUUCGCGUACCUAAAAGGGCCAGCUAUAUCAGAGUAAUUAUGUUGGAGUUGAGUCGUAUAGCUUCCAUCUGUUAUGGCUUGGCCCUUUUAUGGCAGAUAUUGGUGCACAGACUCCUUUCUUCUAUAUUUUCAGAGAAAGAGAAUUAGUAUAUGAUCUGUUCGAAGCUGCCACCGGUAUGAGAAUGAUGCAUAAUUAUUUUCGUAUCGGAGGAGUAGCAGCUGAUUUACCCUAUGGUUGGAUAGAUAAAUGUUUGGAUUUCUGCGAUUAUUUUUUAACAGGGGUUGCUGAAUAUCAAAACUUAUUACGCGAACCCCAUUUUUUUAGAACGAGUUGAAGGAGUAGGCAUUAUUGGUGGAGAAGAAGCAAUAAAUUGGGGUUUAUCAGGACCAAUGCUACGAGCGUCUGGAAUAGAAUGGGAUCUUCGUAAAGUUGAUCAUUAUGAGUGUUAUGACGAAUUUGAUUGGGAAGUCCAGUGGCAAAAAGAAGGGGAUUCCUUAGCUCGUUAUUUAGUCCGAAUCGGUGAAAUGACGGAAUCUGUAAAAAUUAUUCAACAGGCUUUAGAAGGAAUUCCGGGAGGCCCCUAUGAAAUUUAGAAAUCCGCUGCUUUGAUAGAGAAAGCGAUCCAGAACGGAAUGAUUUUGAAAUAGAUUCAUUAGUAAAAAGCCUUCUCCUACCUUUGAAUUGACAAACAAGAACUUUAUGCGAGAGUAGAAGCCCAAAAGGAGAAUUGGGAAUUUUUCUGAUAGGGGAUCAAAGUGGGUUUCCUUGGAGAUGGAAAUUCGCCCACCGGUUUUAUCAAUUUGCAAUUCUUCCUCAGUUAGUUAAAAGAAUGAAAUUGGCUGAUAUUAUGACGAUAUUAGGUAGUAUAGAUAUCAUUAUGGGGAAGUUGAUCGUUGAAAUGAUAAUUGCUACACCCGAAGUACAAGAUAUCAAUUCUUUUUCCCGAUUGGAAUCCCUACAAGAGGUCUAUGGGAUCCUAUGGGUGCUUGCCCUAUUUCGAUUUAUGUAUUGGCAUCACAAUCGGUGUCCUAGUAAUUGUGUGGUUAGAAAGAGAAAUAUCUGCAGGAAUACAACAGCGUAUUGGGCCUGAAUACGCCAGCCCUUUGGGAUUCUUCAAGCUUUAGCCGAUGGGACAAAACUCCUUUUCAAAGAAACCUUCUUCCAUCUAGAGGAAAUAGUAGUUUAUUCAGUAUUGGUCCAUCUAUAGCAGUCAUAGCAAUUCUACUAAGUUAUUCAGUAAUUCCUUUUAGUUAUAACCUUGUUUUAGCUGACCUCAAUAUCGGUAUUUUUUUAUGGAUUGCCAUUUCAGUAUUGCCCUAUUGGACUUCUUAUGUCAGGAUAUGGAUCAAUAAUAAAUAUUCCUUUUUAGGUGGUCUGCGAGCUGCUGCUCAAUCGAUUAGUUAUGAAAUACCAUUAACUUUAUGUGUUUUAUCAUAUCUCUACGUGUGAUUCGCUAAAACCUAAGCUUUUCGUUCUAGAAAAAAAGAACUUGAAUAGAAAUCCUCAUUUUUUUAUUCAUUUAUUGACUCUUUAGGUUAAUAAAGAAAUUAGAUAGUUAUUAUGAGUGAAAGAAAACCUUCGAAAUUCGCAGUAAACGUAGAUUAAGUCUCAUUUCCUAUGUACAAGCGUUAAGGAUAAGUAAACAAAAGUAAAAGUGGAGGAAGCCCUUACCCAAGACAGGUCGAUUGAUCAUCCUAGCUUGAAGCGGGCUUAAAAGACCAACCCUAUAGAAUUUUCAUUUUUCAUUAGCUAUUGUAUGUAUUACAAUAUAUAUUAGAUAUUUAGGGGGGUUGAAUAGGGGGUUGAAAACGCAAAGCGGGGGAUAGGAAGGAACACCAAAUACACACAACGGGUUAGUAAUGUAGAUUAUGUCAAUUAUCUAAAAGGAUACUUCUGCAUAACAUAAAAGAUACUAAUUGGGGCUUUAAGUUGGUAGAAACGAUCAGGCAGUACUCCCACAAUUCCGAUCCAGAGCAUGCUCCUAUCCGCCAGUUAAAGAAAUAACUAUCAGGAACGAAAUAAUCCUUUACCCCUUUUAAGCCCCAUUUUAUCUCAGAAAGAAGAAGAGGAACAAAAAAUAGAAAAAAUACAAUUACAAUCUAAAGAAUCCUUUCUUUCAUAUAUUGAUAGAAAUUAAUUCGUGUCAUGAUUCAUGAACUAGUGUAAUGGCGAUUCUUUUUCGUAUCGAAAAUAAAGGAUGGGUUGAAUAUCGAGUGAUAUUUCUACAGAGUAUUUAUUGAAGGGUUGAUUAAGUUAUUACUCAACACAGAAAUUUGAAAUUCGUAAAGGAUGAGAUUAAUUCAGAAAUACUGUUUUUUUUCCUUAGAGCAGACAGAAUUCCAGUGGUAUAAUUGGGGAUCCUCCGCUAGAUUUUGACUUUAUCCAUCCUAUACCAUAUAAAAUCAAAUAACUAAUACCGGUCCGGUCCUUACAUUUAUUUGUGGCCCUGAGGAGCCGUAUGAGGUGAAAAUCUCAUGUACGGUUUUGUAAUAGCGAUGGAACCGUAAUGUUACCACCGACUAUGAUUAUCUACAGUUUAAGUACAGUUGAUAUAGUUGGGGCGCAAUCAAAAUAUGGUUUUUGGGGUGGAAUUUGUGGCGUCAACCUAUAGGGUUUAUCGUUUUUCUAAUUUCUUCCCUAGCGGAAUGCGAGAGAUUACCUUUUGAUUUACCAGAAGCGGAGAAGAAUUAGUAGCCGGUUAUCAACCGAAUAUUCAGGAAUAAAUUUGGUUUAUUUUACGUUGCUUCCUAUCUAAAUCUACUAGUUUCCUCAUUAUUUGUAACAGUUCUUUACUUGGGAGGUUCGAAUCUUUCCAUUCCAUACAUAUUUGUUCCUGGGCUGGUUGAAAUAAAUAAAGCGGAUGGAAUCUUUGGAACGACAAUUGGUAUCUUUAUUACAUUAGCUUAAAACUUAUUUGUUCUUGUUCAUUCCUAUGCAACAAGGUGGACUUUACCGAGACUAAGAAUGGACCAACUAUUAAAUCUUGGCUGGAAAUUUCUUUUACCUAUUUCUCUCGGUAAUCUAUUUUAACAACUUCUUCCCAACUCCUUUCGCUAUAAGAUAAAGAAAAAAAGGAAUACAAUAUUCGCUACUUGUCUCAAACAAGAGAAAGAAAUAAACUCAAAACAUUCAUAGAUAUUCACAAUAUGUUCCUAUGGUAACCGGUUUCAUGAAUUAUGGUCAACAAACAAUACGAGCUGCAAGGUACAUUGGUCAAGUUUCAUGAUUUACUUUAUCCCAAGCAAAUCGUUUACCUGUAACUAUUUCAAUAUCCUUAUGAAAAAUUAAUCCCAUCAGAGCGUUUUCGUGGUCGAAUCCAUUUUGAAUUUGAUAAAUGUAUUGCUUGUGAAGUAUGCGUUCGGGUAUGUCCUAUAGAUCUGCCUGUUGUUGAUUGGAAAUUGGAACAGAUAUUCGAAAGAACGAUUGCUUAAUUACAGUAUUGAUUUUGGAAUUUGUAUUUUUUGUGGUAACUGCGUUGAGUAUUGUCCAACAAAUUGUUUAUCAAUGACUGAGAAUAUGAACUUGCGACUUACGACCGUCACGAAUUGAAUUAUAAUCAAUUGCUUUAGGUCGUUUACCAAUGUCAGUAAUUGACGAUUUUACAAUUCGAACAGUCUUGAAUUCGCCUCAACGAAAAAACGUCUAACCUUUUUAAUUUCGAAUUACUAAGGUUCAGUUUUGGUAUAGUUGGUAUAAAGGGAUAAGGUUGUUUUUUUGCUUGGUCCAUAACUCAAAAUCCCAACUUUUGAUUGGUUGAUGAGAAGUACAACUACAUUUGUAUUGAAUGAAAUGAUAUAUAGGACAGAAGCUUUUUCGAACUAUAUAGCUUCAAUUUCAAAUUGGCAUUUAGAAUAACGAAAAGAACGAAAUUGAUCCCAGAACUGUAUCCGCUCAAUUCCCACUUAGUAGAUUCUAAUUUCAUUGAAUUGGAAUUGAGAAUGUCUCAUAAAUAAUUUUUCCUGGUCGGCUCAAUAAGGUCAUGAAAAAGAUUUCGAUUUAUUUAUCUCCUAUUUUAAUAUAAUGGAUUUGCCUGGACCAAUACACGAUUUUAUUUUAGUUUUUCUGGGAUCGGGUCUUAUAUUAGGAGGUUCUGGAGUGGUAUUAUUUACCAACCCAAUUUAUUCUGCCUUUUCCUUGGGAUUGGUUCUUGUUUGUAUAUCAUUAUUCUAUAUUCUAUCAAAUUCCCAUUUUGUAGCUGCCGCGCAACUCCUUAUUUACGUGGGAGCUGUAAAUGUUUUAAUCAUAUUUGCUGUAAUGUUCAUGAACGGCUCAGACUAUUCCAAAGAUUUUCAGUUGAAUCUUUGGACUAUUGGCGAUGGUCUUACUUCUGGUUUGUACAAGUAUUUUUUUUCGCUAAUCACUACUAUUCUCGAUACAUCGUGGUACGGGAUUAUUUGGACUACACGAGCCAACCAGAUUAUUGAACAAGAUUUGAUAAGUAAUAGUCAACAAAUUGGAAUUCAUUUAUCAACAGACUUUUUUCUCCAUUUGAACUCGUUUCAAUAAUUCUUUUAGUUGCUUUAAUAGGUGCAAUUGCCGUGGCGCGUCAAUAACAAAUCUUUAUAACUAGGAACAGCAAUCCCAAUUCGACUUUUUAUGUGUUAUCACAUUCAUUAUGUGUUAUCACAUUCAUUUCCCUUAAAAUUCUUGUAAAGUCUAGUUGAAUACUAUUCACAGAUCAAUAGAAAAUCAAAAUAGAAUUUUUUUAUUCGAUCUAUUACCAAAUGGAUUCUUUUGUUCCGUACCUGGUAUAUUCUAAGCAACCAAAUCACUUGCAUUAUUAUUAUUGUUCAGAUUGAAAUGAAUCGAAAUUGGUACGGAGUUGGUUAAUGAUGCUCGAGCAUGUACUUGUUUUGAGUGCCUAUUUAUUUUCGAUUGGCAUCUAUGGCUUGAUUACGAGCCGAAAUAUGGUUCGGGCUUGAUGUGCCUUGAACUUAUACUAAAUGCAGUUAAUAUCAAUUUUGUAACAUUCUCUGAUUUUUUUGAUAGUCGACAAUUAAAAGGAGAUAUUUUUCCAUUUUUGUUAUAGCUAUUGCAGCCGCUGAAGCAGCUAUCGGAUCAGCUAUUGUUUCGUCAAUUUAUCGUAACAGAAAAUCGACGCGUAUCAAUCAAUCGACUUUGUUGAAUAAGUAGUAUUUAUAAAUCAUAAUAUUCCUAAAUUGAAUUUAGGAUAUAGAAUAUGCCCUAAUUUCGAUCCUGUUUGUGAAACUGUAAGAAAUCAAAGUAUCUUUGUUCCCUUGAUCCAGAAGUGGAUUAAUUAGCAAAAUUAUGGUAAAUCAUUGAUUCAUCUGGUGUUUAAAUAUGACAUUUCAAAAUUGACUAGAUCGAAAAUGAAAAAGUUCAAAACAAAAAUAGAUAGAUCCAAUGUCACAUUCAGUAAAGAUUUAUGAUACAUGUAUAGGGUGUACUCAAUGUGUACGAGCUUGCCCCACGGAUGUAUUAGAAAUGAUACCUUGGGACGGAUGUAAAGCAAAGCAAAUUGCUUCUGCUCCAAGAACAGAGGACUGUGUUGGUUGUAAGCGAUGUGAAUCCGCCUGUCCAACGGAUUUCUUGAGUGUUCGAGUUUAUUUAUGGCAUGAAACAACCCGAAGCAUGGGUCUAGCUUAUUGAUAUUGAUACGUUCCCGAAAAACCCACUUGAAUCCGUUUUGAAUACAGUUUUUUUUUUUUACCGAUUACCGACAAAACCCGUACUCGAAAAAGAAAAAAAAAAAUACGAAUAUAUUCUAUUUUCGAGUUUCGAGCACGGGUUUUUGGGCCAAGUGUAUCUUGUCUUUACCACGAAUUAUUUUCCUUGGUUAACACUAAUUGUAGUUUUUCCGAUAGCCGCGGGUUCUUUAAUUUUUUUUUCCCUCAUAGAGGAAAUAAGGUGACUAGAGGAUAUACAAUAUAUAUAUGUGUCUUAGAACUCCUUCUAACGACCUAUGCAUUCUGUUAUAAUUUCCAAUUGGACGAUCCAUUAAUCCAGCUGGCAGAGGAUUAUAAAUGGAUCACUUUUUUUGAGUUUGACUGGCGAUUGGGAAUAGAUGGACUUUCCAUAGGACCCAUUUUACUGACGGGAUUUAUCACCACUUUAGCUACUUUAGCGGCUCGGCCAGUUACUCUGAAUUCCCGACUAUUCCACUUCCUGAUGUUAGCGAUGUACAGCGGUCAAAUAGGAUCAUUUUCUUCUCGGGACCUUUUACUUUUUUUCAUCAUGUGGGAAUUAGAAUUAAUUCCCGUUUAUCUACUUCUGUCCGUGUGGGGUGGAAAGAAACGCCUUUAUUCAGCCACAAAAUUUAUUUUGUACACGGCAGGAGGCUCCGUUUUUCUUUUAAUAGGAGUUUUGGGUAUCGGUUUAUAUGGUUCCAAUGAACCAACAUUAAAUUUGGAAACAUUAGUUAAUCGGUCGUAUCCUGUGGCACUGGAAAUAAUAUUCUAUAUUGGAUUUUUUUUGCUUUUGCUGUCAAAUUGCCAAUUAUACCCUUUCAUACGUGGUUACCAGACACCCACGGAGAGGCACAUUACAGUACUUGUAUGCUUCUAGCCGGAAUCUUAUUAAAAAUGGGAGCAUAUGGGUUGAUUCGAAUCAAUAUGGAACUAUUACCGCACGCUCAUUCUAUAUUUUCCCCCUGGUUCAUGAUAGUAGGUACCGUGCAAAUAAUUUAUGCAGCUUCAACAUCUCCCGGCCAACGGAAUUUAAAAAAAAGAAUAGCCUAUUCCUCUGUAUCUCAUAUGGGUUUCAUAAUUCUAGGAAUAGGCUCGAUAACCGAUACAGGUCUCAAUGGAGCCGUUUUACAAAUAAUUUCUCAUGGGUUGAUUAGUGCUGCACUUUUUUUCUUGGCAGGAACGAGUUAUGAUAGAAUACGUUUUGCUUAUCUAGACGAAAUGGGCGGAAGCUAUACCAAUUCCAAAGAUCUUCACGCUAUUCAGUAUCUUANNNNNUUAAUUAAUUAANNNNNAAACUAAAAAAAUAGAAUACGUUGAUGUCUCUAGUAAACUAGAGUGAUCAUUUAAUAGCUAUUUUGCUUCAAUCUAACCUAUAAAAAACCAAAAUUGAAGAUUUAGUUACGAUUCGAACUAGACUUUUCUAUCUUUAUCCAUGGAUCCUUUACUUUAUACUUAAAAAAUUGGAAGUAUUGAUCCAAUUCAAAAACAAAAAAAAAUUAUGUUUCGCAAUUUCAUAAUCCAAAUUGUUAAUUUCGAAUUGACUCUUGGAUACAAAUCACGAGAACGGAUAUUUUUCUCCGAAUCUUUUAUUUAAAUUUGAGAGUGAAAGGAUAAAAUUGAAUCCUUUUAAGAAAUAAAGUUUUUUAUUGAAAUAUCAAUUAAACUGAAGGACCCCUUAACUAUUAAGGGGAUUAAUUGAACGAAUCACACUUUUACCACUAAACUAUACCCGCUACAAUGCGAUUAUUGUAUAAAAAGGGCCCUUUGUCGAACAGAGAAUCAGAUGUAAUCAAGAUAGGACAUAAAUUUAAAAUAAUCAUGAAAUGAAAAUUGGAAAUUAGAACGUUGACGUCUUUGUCAGGAGUCCUCGUAAAGGAGGAGUUAUUUCGUUUAAAUAACUAAAUUUAAUAAUUCAAAACAAUUUUUUGUUGGACGAAUUUUGACAGAUAUGGCUCGACAAAAUAACUUUUAUCCACACACCAAAUACAAAUUUGGAUUCUUGAUUCAAUCAAAAGAAUGGAAAUAGUCCUUCUUUUUAUUGUUCCUUUGAAUACAAUAACAAGGAUUUCAUUUUUGGUUUUCAAAUCAAAUUCAAAUAAAUCGUUUUUUUAUGGGUCGCACCCUUUCUACGGUUCAGCGGAUGGGUCAUUAGAACAAAAAAAGGCCGGCUGGGACUGACCAGGCCAGGCCGUGGAAGAAUUUCAUUGUUUGAAUGUUUGAAUUUGAGGCGGGUUCGUUCAUAUUGUAAGACUCAUCUGCUCUUAUUUAUUAAUUGUUAGAAUUUUUUUUUUUUUCGAACUAGAAUAAAUCAUGAAUUUUUCUAGCACAAUAUUAAAGAUUUAUCGAAAACUUACAGCAGCUUGCCAAACAAAGGCUAGAGAAAAAAUAGAACAGGUAUUACUGGCAUAAUAUCUACAAUUGGAUUCAAAAAGCGUAGGCUCGGGUAAUUUAGCGAAUAAAAAACUACUCGAAUAAAGGCAGAAUUAAGACAGAUAUACAUUAAACUAAAGAUAUUAAGCAUAACAAACAUUUUGUUCUUGGAGAUAAUUUUAUUUUGAUUGAGUUAUUAAUAUCUUAUUGAUAUAAGAUAAAAAUGAAGAAAAGAAAGUAAGGUAGACAAAAAAAACUUCUUGGAACCGACCCAAUCAAAACAAAAAUCCUUCUAUUCUCGUGUGAGAAUUGAAGAAAUCAUACUUUCAUACAAUAUCUUAAUUGAAUUCUAUGUAAUGAUCAAUAAAUUAAGUUGUAUUUUACACCUAUAUGUGUCAAAAUCCUAACACUAAAAUCAGAAUCGAAUUUUGGGGCUUUGGACUGGAAUUGACGAACAGCCAAUACCACUGGUACUCUUUAUUAGUACCAAAUCGAAAUUGAAAUGGGGCGUCGCCAAGUGGUAAGGCAACGGGUUUUGGUCCCGGUAUUCGGAGGUUCGAAUCCUUCCGUCCCAGACCGGGCAGAAUAAAAAUUUUCAAUUCCCGUUUGAGCAACCCUCUUAAGUAUAUAUUGAUAAAAUAUACGUGUACGUCUUUUUCUUUUUUUUUUUUUCGAAUUAAAAAAUUAUUUUCUCAACCAGAUCUUUUUUCACAAAUUGAAUCGAAUUCAAAUAAUACGAAAAUGGAACUGAAUGCAUUUGUGGUCCCCGCAAGCGGGGAACAUCGAUCACAAGAGUUUGAAUUAAAAAACGUUGGAUGGGCGUUUUUGCGUAUGCCCCCCUCUUCCUCUUUCAUUCACUUUCAUAUUUAAGCGAGUUUCGUAGAAAAGUCUGACGCCCCCCCUCGAAUUGAAUUUUCAAAGAUCCAUUCUAAAUCGAAAUGGGAAAGCCUCCCCAUUCCUAUCUUUUAGAAUCCCAAUUAUUCUCUUUUCAUUUCGGAAUUCUAAACAAGAGGGUAUUCCUGGUACUGAUUGAAUUCGGGAUUAAGUCUCUUAAGUAAGACUAGGUUAGAUUAAAAUAAAAAACAACAAAUUAGAAAGGAAACAAUGACUUAAUCUGGGCCCUUUUGUCUUUGUAUCUAUACAAAAUAGUCUAGCAUUCCGUAAAAUGGGAUCUUUUUUUUUUUUAUUUAUUUAGGAUUCCCACAGAAAGAAUUCGGGGUGGAGUAGGUAAGAGUUAGUGAGCAAUGAAAGAUACCGAUUUGAAUAUCGGUGUCGGUCCAAAUUUCAUUAACCAAUAAUCCCGCUCUAUAUGGAAUGGAGGCUCUUUGAUUCUAACCCAAAUUUUGCGGUCUUUUUUUUAAUGAAUAAUUGUAAAUCUCUGGAAUAACAAUUGAGACGGGGGUUAUUCAUAUAGUCUAUUUACUUGAAUUUUAUACUAUUUACUUUAUUUUCUAUUUUAUUUAUUUUAUUUUGAAUUUGGGAAAGAUUAUUGAAUCUGAAGCCCAAGCCAAAGAAACGACACAUAAUUUGAGGAAAGGCUUAUAUGCAUGGAUUGCUAUCCUUCUAUUUCAGAGAUAACGUCCUUUUGCUUUUUAAGAUUUGUGAGCCCUUAUCUUCCUGUUAAAUUAAAUAUUUAACAUACAAUAUACAUAAUUACUUCCAACGAAAAUUGUUCAGUCUAAUCUGAUAGAUACGGAAAUCGCCCAUUUUUGUAAUUCUGAUUUUCUUUUUCAUUUCAGGAUUCCGGAUGAACGACUAACAACCUAAAUAUUCCCUUCAUAUACAAGGAAAAAAGUCUGUGUAUCGACCGAAGCAAUGACUAUUCAUGAUUCCAUACUGGAAUCAAUUACAUACCGGUUCCAAACUAGAGAAAUGUUAUGGUAAAACUUCGUUUGAAACGAUGUGGAAAGCAACGUGCGACUUGAAGGACAUGAUCCGCUGUGGAUUUGUUUUUUACAUCCACCAUUUUCGAUUUUAUAUGAAUGGGCUCUUGGCUCGACAUUUUUUCUUCUGUUCUAUUAGAAUCCUCAAGUUUUUUUGGGGGGGUAAUGGAACUAGUACAGGAUGGAGCUCGAGUAUAAAGUAUUUAUUCCUUUCUCAGGGGCACGGAUCUAGGGUUAAUACCAAUCAAUAAGUUGGAAAAAACUUCGUAAGUAAAUUUUCGAUAUAGAAAUCGAAAGGAUCUGAUUCGAGCAAUUUUGAAAUCCAAAAGCAAGGGGAAAAUUUGUUGGAAUUGGGAAAACUUUUUCUACCAAAAGUGUAUCCUGUAGGAAUCAAUUGUUCGUAUGAUUCUUUGAUAGAAAGAAAUCAAAAGGGGGUGUGUUGCUGCCAUUUUUUAAAAUAAAAAACGUUAAAGAUCACCGAAGUAAUGUCUAAACCUAAUGAUUCAAAGCAAAGAUAAAGGAUCCUGGAACAAGGAAAUACCAUUUUUCAAUUGUCUCAACAAUUCAAUCCAAUCCAAAAAUAGAUUCGAUUCGAAACGAGACAAACAAAAAAGGGGCUUGAGACCGCUCAAAAAAGGAAAUGCCUAAGGAUUUUCGGCUGGGCGUUGAAACUUAUCUAACUUGAGUUAUGAGAGUACGAAUUCUUUUUUGUUUCUUUUGAAAAUGACAAAGAAACAAAAAAAGAAUAACUUAAAUCUCUAAUUGAUUUGAUUAUUUUAUAGAUCUAUUUGACAUUCUAAUUCUAUACAUAGACAUAACUAUCACUUCGAACCAUUUUGUUUCUCGAGCCGUACGAGGAGAAAACUUCUUAUACGUUUCUAGGGGGGUACUGUUCAUCUAUAUCUAUCCCAAUGAGCCGUUUAUCGAAUCGUUGCAAUUGAUGGUCGAUCCCGAAGAGAAGGAAGAGAUCUUCGGAAAGUGGGUUUUUAUGAUCCGAUAAAUAAUCAAACCCAUUUAAAUGUUCCUGCUAUUCUAUAUUUCCUUGCCAAGGGCGCUCAACCUACAGGAACCGUUCAUGAUAUUUCACAGAAAGCGGGGGUUUUUACAGAAGUUAGUCUUAAUCAAACGAAAUUCUAUUAAGGAAUAGAACAAAAAAGAGGGUGUGGAUGCGCUUUAUCUAGUUUUGUAUAAUUUUUUCUUUACUAUCCCCCUUUUGUUCUAUUCAGACCUAUUUCUUUUCGGUUUUUUUUUGAAGUCUUUCUCUAAAACUCUAAAAAAGUAUUCUUAAAGUUUUUUAUUUAUCUAAUUCUUUAGAUAUUAUUUAUUAAUUUCCAUAUUUAUUAUAUCUAUUUAUUAAUAUAUAAUUUGAUUUGUUAUUUGGAUUUGAAUUCAAUUUAAUAAAUAACCAAUUAACUCUUUUUGUUUUGUUAUUGUAUGUUUUUAGUAUUUUCUCAAUCUUGCUAUUCAAUAUUCAAUGUCAUAUUGACAAUAUUGUAGUGAACAAAUAUAAUUUUCUCAUGGAGAAAUGGGCCCAUUUAUCUCCGUUCCAUAGGUUUUGGUUGUCUUUUUUUUAUGUUCAAAAUCGAUUAGAAAUUUUUUUGAUUCGAGUUCUUGCUAAUUUCAUUUUUUGAUUCCGUUUUGAAAUUCCUUUUUUUUUUUUUAUUUUUUUUUAUUCCGAUUCUAUCUACCCAUUCGAAUUAUUUGGGUUGCUAACUCAACGGUAGAGUACUCGGCUUUUAAGUACGGCUAGCAUCUUUUACACAUUUCUAUGAAGCAAAGAAUUCGUCCAAAUCUUCGGGAGAGUUUGUAAGACUGCGACUGAUCCUGAAAGGAAUGAAUGGAAAAAACAGCAUGUCGUAUCAAUGGAUAAUUUUGAGAAUAUUUUAUUCUUGUUCAAUCGCUAUAAAACCAAGUUUGAAUUCUUGGCGCGGAACAAAAUAAAUAUAAUUAUUAAGAGUUGGGUCGAGUUAAUAAAUGGAUAGAGCCCUAGGGUUCCAAUUAUAGGGAAAAAAAAAGUAACGAGCUUCGGUUCUUAAUUUGAAUGAUUAUCCGAUCUAAUUAAACGUUAAAAAGAUAUUAGUUCCUAACGCGGGGAAAGGUUUUCCCAUGAGGGGAUUAUCGAUUUAUUUAAUGAGUCCUAAGUAUUAGCGGGUCCCUAUUAUGGGUUGUAACUGAAUGUGUAGAAGAAGCAGUAUAUUGAUAAAUAUAGUUGUUUUUUUUCCAAAAUCAAAAGAGCGAUUGGAGUGAAAAAAUAAAGGGUUUCUAACCACUUAGUUAUACUAUAACUAUAACAACAUAAACCAAUUAAAUUAACUCAAAAUGAGAGGAUAGAGAAUCCGGUGAGUCUACCCAUUUUCAAGGUAUCCACUUUUUUACUACAAUACUUUGUUUUCACCGUAUCGCACUAUGUAUCGUUUGAUCGCUCACUAAAUCCCUUACCUUUGUUUUUAAUCGAAUUUCAAAUGAGGAAUUUCAAGUAUAUUUAGAACUAGAUAGAUCUCAACAACACGACUUCCUAUACCCACUUCUUUUUCGGGAGUAUAUUUAUGUACUUGCUCAUGAUCAUGGUUUAAAUAGCUCGAUGAUGUCAUUGGAAGGUGGGUUUUAUGACAAUAAAUCUAGUUCACUAAGUGUGAAACGGUUAAUUACUAGAAUGUAUCAACGGAUUAAUUUGAGUAUUGCUGCUAAUGAUUCGAAUCAAAAUCCGAUUUUUGGGCACAACAAUAAGUUAUAUUCUCAAAUUAUAUCAGAGGUAUUUGCUGCUGUGGUGGAAAUUCCAUUUUCCCUACGGUUGUUGGCUUUUUUAGAAGGGAAAGAAAUUGAAAAAUCGCCUAAUUUCCAAUCAAUUCAUUCAAUAUUUCCUUUUUUCGAGGAUAAAUUGUCCCAUUUAAAUUAUGUGUUAGAUGUACGAAUACCCUACCCCAUUUGUCCCGAAAUCUUGGUUCAAACCCUUCGCGAAUGGGUAAAGGAUGCCUCUUCUUUACAUUUAUUACGGUUUUUCUCACGAGUAUUUUAAUUCGAACAGUCUUAUUACUCCAAAGAACUCUAUUUCUGUUUUUUUAAAAAGUAAUCCAAGAUUGUUAUUGUUUCUAUAUAAUUCUCAUGUAUAUGAAUAUGAAUCCAUCCUCUUUUUUCUCUGUAACCAAUCGUCUCAUUUACAAUCAACAUCCUUUCAAGUCCUCGUUGAGCGAACGUAUUUCUAUGGAAAAGUCGAACAUCUUGUCGAAGUCUUUGCUAAAGAUUUUCAGGACAUCUUAGGGUUGGUCAAGGAUCCUUUCAUGCAUUAUGUUAGAUAUCAAGGAAAAUCCAUUUUGGCUUCAAAGGAUACGCCUCUUCUGAUGAAUAAAUGGAAAUAUUACCUUGUCGGUUUAUGGCAAUGGCAUUUUCACGCGUCUUCUCAACCAGGAAGGGUUCAGCUAAACCACUUAUACUUAGGCAAGUACGCUAUUAACUUUCUGGGCUAUCUUUCCGGUGUGCGACUAAAUUCUUUGUUGGUACGGAGUCAAAUGCUAGAAAAUUCAUUUCUAAUAGAUAAUUCUAUGAAGAAGGUCGAUACGACCGUUCCAAUUAUUCAUCUGAUUGGAUCAUUGACUAAGGCGCGGUUUUGUAACGCAUUAGGGCAUCCUAUCAGUAAGUCGACUUGGUCCGAUUUCUCUGAUUCUCAUCUUAUCGACCGAUUUGUGCGUAUAUGUAGAAAUCUUUCUCAUUAUUACAGCGGAUCUUCAAAAAAAAAAAGUUUGUAUCGAGUAAAAUAUAUACUUCGGCUUUCUUGUGUUAAAAGUUUGGUUCGUAAACAUAAAAGUACUGUACGCGCUUUUUUAAAA